rnacentral:lncRNA from 1 species
UGUCUUUGUUAAAGUCACCCCCAAAAGCCUAAAAAUGCUAUGGAUAGUAGAACCUUAUGUGACCUGGGGAUUUCCAAAUCUGAAGUCUGUCCGGGAACUCAUCUCGAAACGUGGAUAAGCAAGGGUCAAGAAUAAGACCAUCCCCCUGACAGACAACACAGUGAUUGAGGAGCAUCUGGGGAAGUUUGAUAUCAUUUGUCUGGAAGACCUCAUUCAUGAAAUUGCCUCCCUGGGGAAGCAUUUUUGGGAGAUCCCUGGAUUAUGGCACCCUUUCCUAGGGG